rnacentral:rRNA from 1 species
UACGUAGGGUGCGAGCGUUAAUCGGAAUUACUGGGCGUAAAGCGUGCGCAGGCGGUUUUGUAAGCCAGAUGUGAAAUCCCCGGGCUUAACCUGGGAAUGGCAUUUGGGACUGCAAGGCUGGAGUGCGGCAGAGGAGACUGGAAUUCCUGGUGUAGCAGUGAAAUGCGUAGAUAUCAGGAGGAACACCGAUGGCGAAGGCAGGUCUCUGGGCUGACACUGACGCUCAUGCACGAAAGCAUGGGGAGCAAACAGG